rnacentral:rRNA from 1 species
AUUGAACGCUGGCGGAAUGCUUUACACAUGCAAGUCGAACGGCAGCACGGGGGCAACCCUGGUGGCGAGUGGCGAACGGGUGAGUAAUACAUCGGAACGUGCCCAGUCGUGGGGGAUAACGUAGCGAAAGCUACGCUAAUACCGCAUACGAUCUCUGGAUGAAAGCGGGGGACCGCAAGGCCUCGCGCGAUUGGAGCGGCCGAUGGCAGAUUAGGUAGUUGGUGGGGUAAAGGCUCACCAAGCCGACGAUCUGUAGCUGGUCUGAGAGGACGACCAGCCACACUGGGACUGAGACACGGCCCAGACUCCUACGGGGAGCAGCAGGUGGGGUAAUUUUGGAACAAGUGGGACGAAAGCCUGAUCCAGCCAUUCCGCGUGC